GCUUGGGUUCGAUUAGCCUGCUAGUCGCACGAGUUCAGACUCGUGGCGAAUAGCUCAGUAACACGUGGCCAAACUACCCUUCGGACCGUCAUACCCUCGGGAAACUGAGGCUAAUAACGGAUACCACAGUCCACCUGGAAUGAGGACUGUGCCAACCGCUCCGGCGCCGAAGGAUGUGGCUGCGGCCGAUUAGGUAGACGGUGGGGUAACGGCCCACCAUGCCAAUAAUCGGUACGGGUCAUGAGAGUGAGAACCCGGAGACGGAAUCUGAGACAAGAUUCCGGGCCCUACGGGGCGCAGCAGGCGCGAAACCUUUACACUGCACGACAGUGCGAUAAGGGAAUCCCAAGUGCGUAGGCAUAGAGCCUACGCUUUUGUCCACCGUAGGGAGGUGGACGAAUAAGGGCUGGGCAAGACCGGUGCCAGCCGCCGCGGUAAUACCGGCAGCCCGAGUGAUGGCCGAUCUUAUUGGGCCUAAAGCGUCCGUAGCUGGCCGCACAAGUCCAUCGGAAAAUCCACCCGCUCAACGGGUGGGCGUCCGGUGGAAACUGUGUGGCUUGGGACCGGAAGGCGCGACGGGUACGUCCGGGGUAGGAGUGAAAUCCCGUAAUCCUGGACGGACCGCCGAUGGCGAAAGCACGUCGCGAGAACGGAUCCGACAGUGAGGGACGAAAGCUAGGGUCUCGAACCGGAUUAGAUACCCGGGUAGUCCUAGCCGUAAACAAUGCCUGCUAGGUGUGGCUCCCACUACGAGUGGGUGCUGUGC
rnacentral:rRNA from 1 species